UACAGAGGGUGCAAGCGUUAAUCGGAUUUACUGGGCGUAAAGCGUGCGUAGGCGGCCAACUAAGUCGGAUGUGAAAUCCCCAGGCUCAACCUGGGAACUGCAUCCGAUACUGGAUGGCUUGAAUUCGGGAGAGGGAUGCAGAAUUCCAGGUGUAGCGGUGAAAUGCGUAGAUAUCUGGAGGAAUACCGGUGGCGAAGGCGGCAUCCUGGACCGACAUUGACGCUGAGGAGCGAAAGUCAGGGGAGCAAACAGG
rnacentral:rRNA from 1 species